GUGUCAUAUAAAAGGAAAGAAGUUCUUCCACCUUUUAUAAAGAUGGAAGAAGCCCCUGAGUCUAAUAACACAGUUAAGGCAUUGUUGCCUGCUUUGUAGCAUCUAACCACUGCUGAAC
ensembl:snRNA Gm26249 predicted gene, 26249